CAUUAAAUAACCCGCCAGUUCCAGCCGGGUCCCCCCGAAAGUUUCCAGGAGGCUCAGGGGCUGCGUCUGCAGGCGCCCUCUUUCUUUCUCACCGAGACACUUCACCGCGCUGCCAGGCCGGCUCGGACGCGGGCACCGCAACCUCAGCCCCGCUCCCACCGCUCGGAGGUGGCGACCGCGACCGCAGCGGCGCGCGCGCUUUUCCUGCUCACCCUUCCAAGAGGCGGCGCGUGCACACACGCCACCGAGGAGGACCCGGGCCCGCGGGACUCGGAACCACGUUCGCACGGAGCCGGCGCGUCCCGGGCCCGGAGCCGGAGCCGGCCGCGAGCGUACCGCGCUCGGGGUGUCCGCGCGGCGGCGGCGGCGGCGGCGGCCCGCCCACAUCGCCGUCCGGCAGGGCUUGGGCCUCGGGAGCGGACCUGGCGGCCGGUGACACCGCGCUCCCGUCUCACCUCUCUCGGCCUCGGCUCCGGCCGCCGCCAUCUUGCGGAGCUUUCAUUCAAACUGGCGCGGUCAGCCGGAAUCGCUCAGCUGGCCAGACGCCCCGCCCCGGCCCGCGAGGGACUCCGGAGCUGGGAGGCUUGAAGUAGCGAGGCGUCCUGACGUCAGCGGAGGCUGACCCCCGCCCCCAGCCGUAGUAGCCAGCGCGCGUGCGCGGCACGGUGAAGCACGAAGGGGCGGGGCCUGUCCGCGGGAGCUAGCUGGGGCCCCGCCCCCACCCCUCACCCCCGCUUCCAGGCUGGCUUUGAUUCUAAAGGAUGCUUGCCGCCAGCGUUCCCUCCCUCUUCGGUGCUUUGACUUCCCUUCACAAAGGCACGGCGUGCACUUUAUUGAAAUGCAAAAUGUGCUGUGCGGGUUAGUGUGCACAGACAGCGUCUUUCCUGCUCCCGUUCCUCGGCCCUUGAACCCAACCAAGCCCUUUCACUCCCUACCACUCCGGCUCAGGGCCUCAAGAUUGGAUGCACGUGGUCUCACUUAGAGAGACCGUGGUCUGUUUGGAUCACUCAAAGAGAUUCUGAACAUCAACUCUCAGUAUGGAAGAGUGGGCCUGAGACCCUUCAGGAAACCCAUGGGCACAAAACUGCAGUCUUGCACCAUGGAACAACUUUGUAUCCCGGUGACAUGUCCCCCAGGUUUCUCCUUGAUUCAUCCAACCAGCAACUGAGACUCUGGACAUGCAGAAUGCUGAGAAAACACAGCUCGGGGAAAGUUACUCAUCCCAUGGAUGCUCUCCAAGUUAGAUGUGACAAAGAAGGGCAGUUAGAGCAGUAGUGUUCUUGAACAUGUGGUAUGAGACAAGGGAUACCAUGCCAGUCUUCAGGUGAGGGUGUGAGAAAUACCAGUUUUUUUUUUUUUAAAGUGGGUUUGUCUUUAAGAAGGAAAUAUUUUCCUAAAGUUUUAUGAUCCUAGUAAAUGCUCACAGAACAAAAAUGUAAAAUGUCUUUUAAAAAUUCUCAUAUUCAACAAAAAGAUAUAUUAGUAAACUAUAAGUUUAACCCCCCCCAAAAAAAACCGUGGAAAAUUGUAGCUUGUUAUCUUUCAUUUUAGGAUGAAAAAGACAGUGUUACUAUAAAUAUGACAGUAA